UGUGCGGUCGGCCUGUCGCAUCACACGCUGUCCCUGGGCCCCCACGGUCGGGGCCAACGCUCUUAAUGUCACCGUGCUUCCUCCUGGGCCUCAGUCACGUGGACACGGUUUGAGAUUAUGCUGCCCCAUAACUGCUGACGAUAUGAUCCUGACAGAUAAAGAAUGCUUGAAAGCCGCUGCUGAUAUUUUGAUGACAAUGACGAGGAAGAGGAGGAGGGGGUCUGUGAGCAGCCACAUGUAACCAUAGGACGUCGACGAAGGUUUAAAAAAUGCCUGUGGCCUGAGCUGGCCGCAGGGGGAGUAAUUCUGGGACUCUGUCCCGGGAAGCACUGUGUUUUCCUUCAGAGCACAGGGACGCCCGACGCUUUCUGUCCUGUCUACCCUCCCCAGCUCAACACACACACUAAAGCUCCACCUGUGGCCUCGAUGGGCGACGCGUCCGUGAAUGGGAGAGGAGCGAUGUCCCAGGGGACGUGGCCAAAGGCGAGGUUGGAAGACAGAGCUUCUUAUAAAACCUGGGUGCGUCUCCGUGGUCAGGAGCCCUGUGACCUGGACGAGGAAGCUCCGAGCUGGCGUUUGUCUGAUGCCUGGUCCCUGCUUCUCAUUCCUGGCCGGGCUUGUCUGCCUUCUGUUCCAAGAUGCCAGCGACAGGGGCCUCGUUCGGAGUAACUGGGGUUGACGUCGGCUGGGGAGCCCUCCCGAGCAAGGGCAGUGCUGGCUGCAAUGUUGGGUAAAGAGAGAGAAGAAAGAUUCCCUGGAUGAUUGACAAAUCAUCAAUCCUGCUUUGGCCACACAGAGUUGGUGAAGUGAUAAGCGGCCAUUCCCAACUAUUCUACCAUUCGUCGAGAGCCCCCUGGGUGUGGAGAAGGGAAGGAACUCAAGCCAACAUGUUCAUUUCUAUUCCUGCUUCACCGGUUUUUACUUAAUCUCUCUGUGCCUCAGUUGACUUCUCCAACAUAUGGUACCUACCUCAUAGGGUUCUUGUGAGGAUAAAGUGAGUUAAUCCACUUCAAGUAAUUAGAACAGUGCCUGGAAUGCAGUAAUUCCUGUAUUUGUGUUGACUUUUCAUCUUUCCAAUAAUGGCAAUAAUAAAACUCACCAUGUCCGAAUUAUCUGAGAUGGUUUAAACAUUAAAUUUAAAUCAUAACAC